UUUUUUUUUUUUUUUUUUUUUUUUUGAGACAGGGUCUGUCUCUGUUGCCUAGGCUGGAGUGCACUGGCACCAUCUCGGCUGACUGCAACCUCCGCCUUCUGGGCUCAAGCCGCCCUACCACCUCAGCCUCUCAAGUAGCUGGGACUACAAGUCUGUCAUCACUAUGCCCAGCUAAUUUUUGUGUUUUUAGUAUAGAGAAAGGGUUUCUCCAUGUUGCCCAGGCUGGUCUUGAACUCCUGAGCUCAAAUGAUCCACCUGCCUCGGCAUCCCAAAGUGCUGGGAUUACAGGCCUGAGCUCCCAUGCCUGGCUUUUUCUUUCUUAUGGUUAGUAUUUUUGUGACCUAUUUAAGAAAUCUUUGCCUGCCCAAGAUGUUCAUGUUCUUCUGGAAGCCUGACUGUUUUAGCUUUCACACUUAUGUCUAUGGUCCCUCUUGAAUUAGUUUAUGUACAUGGUGUGAGGCUCAGCCUGACCUCCCUGUAUGAUGUCUGGGAUCCAAGCUACCUGCCUAUGCAUCCUUCUGGGUAUUGGCAGACCCUGGUGAUAAUACAGCACACCCCUGAGGUGACCCCAAGACUGCCAGGAGGGAGAGGUUAUCCAUGGAGCUCAGCAUCAUUUAUUGACUUAAUUCCUACCAUGGUGCUUGGCUGUGGGAGAAGCAGAAAAUGCCCUGGACAGCCUUCACCAGGAGCAGCUGCUAUUGGAAGAACUUUACUUAACCCUUCAAAUCUCAUUCCUACACCUGCAUAGACCAAGAGGCCCUCCCCAAAUCCUCAGUUCCUGGCCCUCAGGGCCUUGCCCAUGAACUCUGUGCAGCUGCUCCUGGACCAUGGUGCUGAUCCUAACCAGCGAGAUGGGCUGGGGAACACGCCACUGCACCUGGCGGCCUGCACCAACCACGUUCCUGUCAUCACCACACUGCUACGAGGAGGUAUGUGGUUUCUUCCCCUCUCUGUCCUCUUUCUCCCCCUCACCCCCAGAAUGCUCACCUCAGCUGGUACCUGCAGGGGCCCGUGUGGAUGCCCUGGACCGAGCUGGUCGCACACCCCUGCACCUGGCCAAGUCAAAGCUGAACAUCCUGCAGGAGGGCCAUGCCCAGUGCCUAGAGGCUGUGCGUCUGGAGGUGAAGCAGAUCAUCCAUAUGCUGAGGGAGUAUCUGGAGCGCCUAGGGCAACAUGAGCAGCGAGAACGCCUGGAUGACCUCUGCACCCGCCUGCAGAUGACCAGUACCAAAGAGCAGGUGGAUGAAGUGACUGACCUCCUGGCCAGCUUCACCUCCCUCAGUCUGCAGAUGCAGAGCAUGGAGAAGAGGUAGCAAGAGAGGCUCCCUGCCUUCCUGCCACUGCCCCACCCUGCCCCACUGCUGUCUCAGUACCAAGAAAAAGCCCAACAUCUGGGACUUGGAGCUGCACUUGUCUGGUGAGGACCUUGCCCUCACCCGCAGAUGCCAUGGGGCAGAGAUGCUCUCUCUCCACGGCCUCAGAGCCACUCCCAGCCACAGUUUCCAGCAUCUCUGUGGACAGGGACCACAGCUCCCAGCUUCUUCCAGUUCUCGCAGCACCAGACCAGCCUCUGCAGCUGCACUUCAGCUCCGCAGACCCGCGCUAUCUCAGCAGACCUCACUUGCCCCAUGGCCUUCAUGGCGCGCCCCAGGCCUCAGACCCUUCUCUGUGUUCCGUCCUGGCCACGGGCUUGUUGCAGUCAGCAGGUGUGGGCUUAGGCGGGCACCCUGUGGCCAGGGGUACUGCGUGAGGCCCUCAGUUGGUCCUGUGCCUCUCACCAGCACUUAGACAGACACGUCACCGGACUUUCAAGGAGAUACUGCAGUGAGUUUCUCUGGUUGGAAGGGGAGGGUUGGUGAGUCCCAGACCUUAAAAAUACAAGGUUAAGAGGGACCCCAAAGCAAAAAAUUCCAACCCUUUUCCUCCCAGUCAUUGAAACACCAAAACUAUUAUACCGGAGGGUGUAAUAGUUUUGCUGCCCAGUUGUGGUAGGCCAGUAGUGGCCUCCCAAGAUGCCCAUGUCCUAAUCCCAGGAACCUGUCAAAAUUACCUUGUAUGGCCAAAGGGGCUUUGCAGAUGUAAUGAAGUUAAGGAUCUUUGGCCGGGAAGAUUAUCCCAGCUUGUUCUGGAGGGCCUGAUGUCCUCACCCGGGUCUGUAUAACAGCAGAGCAGGUGACGGGAGAGCAGGUUGGAGGUGUAGCGAUGGAGUAGGAAACGAGUUGAGGAGGGCAGCUCAAGCCACAGAGUCCAGGCCACCUCAGAGCCAGGAAAUGCAUCCUCCCACAGAGCCCUGGAAGGUCCCAGCCCUGCUCCCACCUGGACUGGCUCAGUGAGGCUAAUUUUAUAAUUCUGGCUGAUUUUAGAACUCUAAGGGAAUAAAUUUGUGUUGUUUUAAGUC
rnacentral:sRNA from 1 species